UGGGGAAUAUUGCACAAUGGGCGCAGGCCUGAUGCAGCGACGCCGCGUGAGGGAUGACGGCCUUCGGGUUGUAAACCUCUUUCAGUAGGGACGAAGCGCAAGUGACGGUACCUAUAGAAGAAGGACCGGCCAACUACGUGCCAGCAGCCGCGGUAAUACGUAGGGUCCGAGCGUUGUCCGGAAUUACUGGGCGUAAAGAGCUCGUAGGUGGUUUGUCGCGUUGUUCGUGAAAACUCACAGCUUAACUGUGGGCGUGCGGGCGAUACGGGCAGACUGGAGUACUGCAGGGGAGACUGGAAUUCCUGGUGUAGCGGUGGAAUGCGCAGAUAUCAGGAGGAACACCGGUGGCGAAGGCGGGUCUCUGGGCAGUAACUGACGCUGAGGAGCGAAAGCGUGGGGAGCGAACA
rnacentral:rRNA from 1 species